UCGCGAAUUUUUCACAAUGGACGCAAGUCUGAUGAAGCCACGCCGCGUGUAGGAUGAAGGCCCUCUGGGUUGUAAACUACUGUCGAGGGAGGGGAACCGCUGCAAGUUAAUGGCUUGCAGUCUGACUGCUCUCUGAAGGAAGCCCCGGCAAAACAUGUGCCAGCAGCCGCGGUAAUACAUGUGGGGCAAGCGUUGUUCGGAAUUACUGGGCAUAAAGGGUGCGUAGGUGGUCUAUUAAGUCAGGGGUGAAAUCCCGCGGCCCAACCGUGGAACUGCCUUUGAUACUGAUGGACUUGAGUGCGUGAGGGGUAGGGGGAACGAGCAGUGUAGCGGUGAAAUGCGUAGAUAUUGCUCGGAAGGCCAGAGCCGAAGGGGCCCUACUGGUGCGCAACUGACACUG
rnacentral:rRNA from 1 species